UACGUAGGUCCCGAGCGUUGUCCGGAUUUAUUGGGCGUAAAGCGAGCGCAGGUGGUUUAUUAAGUCUGGUGUAAAAGGCAGUGGCUCAACCAUUGUAUGCAUUGGAAACUGGUAGACUUGAGUGCAGGAGAGGAGAGUGGAAUUCCAUGUGUAGCGGUGAAAUGCGUAGACAUAUGGAGGAACACCGGUGGCGAAAGCGGCUCUCUGGCCUGUAACUGACACUGAGGCUCGAAAGCGUGGGGAGCAAACAGG
rnacentral:rRNA from 1 species